GUUUGUUUAGGUGGUGAAGUCUGUAUCUCAUAUACUAUUAUAAACAACAGGUCAACUAUAUGUGGCAUGUGGAUUGAUUGUAAGAUGUACAUGUCCAAAUGGUGGGUUUCAUCUGACCUUGACCUCAUUUUCAUGGUUCAUUGGUCAAAGUUAAUUUAUUGUGCUUUGGUCUAUUUCUUAGAUACUAUUAGUAGGAGAUCAGCUGUAUCUGGUUUAAGAAAUGAUUGUAAGAUGUACUUGUCUGUCUGGCUGGUUGUUCUUUACCCACUGAAGAAAUGAUUGUAAGAUGUACUUGUCUGUCUGGCUUGUAAGAUGUACUUGUCUGUCUGGCUUGUUAGAUAUUCUUGUCUGUCUGGCUUGUAAGAUGUACUUGUCUGUCUGGCUUGUAAGAUGUACUUGUCUCUCUGGCUGGUUGUUCUUUACCAUUUUCAUGGUGCAUGUUGGACAAUGUUAGGUUUUUUUCCUGUUUAUGUUCUAUAUUUAUUUCUCAGGUACUAUAAGCAUGAUAAGUAAUAAGGCCAUUAUUUUUGGUGAAUUGAAUUAUUGUAAUGUUUACAUGUCUGUCAGUCAUGUCAGUGGGCAGAUUUCAUCUGAACUUGACCUUAGUUUUAGUCAAAGUUAAAUUUUCAUGGUUAUGUCUGUUAUCUGAUAUUAUAAGCAAUAGGUCAACGUAAUUUGGUGUACAACAUGAUUGUUGGAUGAGCAUGUCUGACAGUGUUGUCUGACAUUAACCCUUUUCAUGGUUCAUUAGUCAAUGUAAAUUUUAGUAAUAAUUAUUUUUCUGAUUUUAUAUUAGAUUUUUAUUAUUCAAUGUUGUGAUUGUAUUGAUACAAUUAUCAUGAUUAUGUAAAAUGUAUAAACAUAUUUAUAAAAGCAUGUAAUAUUAAAAC
rnacentral:lncRNA from 1 species